rnacentral:rRNA from 1 species
GAGCGGUAGCACAGGAGAGCUUGCUCUCUGGGUGACGAGCGGCGGACGGGUGAGUAAUGUCUGGGAAACUGCCUGAUGGAGGGGGAUAACUACUGGAAACGGUAGCUAAUACCGCAUGACGUCUUCGGACCAAAGUGGGGGACCUUCGGGCCUCACGCCAUCAGAUGUGCCCAGAUGGGAUUAGCUAGUAGGUGGGGUAAUGGCUCACCUAGGCGACGAUCUCUAGCUGGUCUGAGAGGAUGACCAGCCACACUGGAACUGAGACACGGUCCAGACUCCUACGGGAGGCAGCAGUGGGGAAUAUUGCACAAUGGGCGCAAGCCUGAUGCAGCCAUGCCGCGUGUAUGAAGAAGGCCUUCGGGUUGUAAAGUACUUUCAGCGAGGAGGAAGGCAUUGUGGUUAAUAACCACAGUGAUUGACGUUACUCGCAGAAGAAGCACCGGCUAACUCCGUGCCAGCAGCCGCGGUAAUACGGAGGGUGCAAGCGUUAAUCGGAAUUACUGGGCGUAAAGCGCACGCAGGCGGUUGAUUAAGUCAGAUGUGAAAUCCCCGAGCUUAACUUGGGAACUGCAUUUGAAACUGGUCAGCUAGAGUCUUGUAGAGGGGGGUAGAAUUCCAGGUGUAGCGGUGAAAUGCGUAGAGAUCUGGAGGGAAUACCGGUGGCGAAGGCGGCCCCCUGGACAAAGACUGACGCUCAGGUGCGAAAGCGUGGGGAAGCAAACAGGAUUAAAUACCCUGGUAGCCCACGCUGUAAACGAUGUCCACUUGGAAGUUGCGCCCUUGAAGGGUGGCUUCCGGAGCUA